rnacentral:tRNA from 1 species
GUUUUUAUAGUUUAAUUUAAAACAUUGGUCUUGUAAAUCAAAAAUAAUUUUUUAUUUAAAAACU